rnacentral:rRNA from 1 species
AUGGAUGACUGGCCUGAUAGCAUUGGUGACAUGACUAGUCUCACCCAGUUUGUGGUCGACAGUGGACCUUCUAAUUUGCUUGAAAAGGUUAAAGCCAUCAAAAAGCGUCUAAAUCUUGUGGGCAUGGUACAUCAUAAUGUACAUGAGAUAGAGAGUAGAGGAUGUAGCAGUAUAGUGGAUCUUGUGGGAUUGACUUGUUCAGAGCUGAUACUUGCAUGCCUUGAGAAAGUCCGGGAUCCGGAAGAUGCAGACAGGGUCAAACUGCGUGAUAAAUCAGAUAUCCGAGUACUAAAACUUGGCUGGAUCCCUAAGUGGAUGUCUUAUAUAUCAAGUGGUAAAUCUGUGCUGGAAAGGCUCGUACCUCCUCAGACUCUUGAAAACUUUUGGCUGGUUGGGUAUAGGGGCAAGGAUUUCCCUAACUGGAUGUUUCACAUCUCGUCCUACCUCCCUUUUCUCAGCGAACUGACUCUUGAUGGUUUGGAAGCAUGUGAUUGUCUUCCUCCGUUUGGCGCACUCCCAAAUUUAAGAAGUUUGUGUCUGAGGAACUGUCCCAACAUUAGGAAAAUUGGUAAGGAAUUCUAUGGAGAGGGCGGACCUUGUAUGCAACUAAGAGUUGUGGACUUGGCGUCGAUGGAGAAUUUGGUGGAAUGGUUGACAACAGAGUCAAGUGAAGAAAACAAAGAGUUUCUAAUCCCUAAUUUGCAUCUUUUGGUUGUAAAGGACUGCCCAAAUUUGAAGUUCCUACCAUAUCCCCCAAGAAGUAUGAAUUGGUUUUUGAGCAACAGUGAGACAGUUUUGCCAGAACAAGGAUUUGGGAAGCUCUCGUCUUCCAUUCAGCCUUCUAGGCUGGCUCUAGAAGAACUUUUCAUUGCAGAUUGCCCCAAUCUGACAUGUUUGCCUGAAAGUAUGAAGAACCUCACAGCUCUUACAAAAUCGGCGUUGGUGGACUGCAAAGGCCUAGAGAUAUUACCGGAAUGGUUGGGACAGUUGACUUGCCUAGAAGAACUUUCCAUCGGAGGUUGCCCCAACCUGACAUCUUUGCCUGAAGGCAUACGGAGUCUCUCUGCUUUGAAAGUUCUCAUAAUUGUUAGAUGUCCAAUAUUGAUUGAGAGGUGCCAAGGGGAGGAUGCCCACAAGAUUGGUCACAUCCCCAAAGUUGUACUGCGCUGA